UACGGAGGGUGCAAGCGUUAUCCGGAUUCACUGGGUUUAAAGGGAGCGUAGGUGGGCAGGUAAGUCAGUGGUGAAAUCUCUGGGCUCAACCCGGAAACUGCCAUUGAUACUAUUUGUCUUGAAUAUUCUGGAGGUAAGCGGAAUAUGUCAUGUAGCGGUGAAAUGCUUAGAUAUGACAUAGAACACCGAUUGCGAAGGCAGCUUACUACGGAAUUAUUGACACUGAGGCUCGAAAGCGUGGGGAUCAAACAGG
rnacentral:rRNA from 1 species